CGGGAGCCUGCAUCUCACCACUGAUCCGUGGCCACCCAACCCGGAAUGAUGGACGAAUACAUCCCUCCCUCGGCAGUCGAUCGAUAAGGUUAUCCAAUAGGGGGGGGGGCUAGAAAUUUGACAAACCCAACUUAGAACCGACACAAACUUGACCCGUAGAUGACUGGGCGGGUCUAGAUACUCUUGGUCUAGACCCAACCCAUAUAUGAACGGAUGAAGUGUGGGGCUAAAAUCUAGACCGGAUUAUUAAAUUAGUCAGGUUUGAAGUUCCCCUAGACUUUGCCUGGCCCAUUUGCACCCUUCUAUUCAAUGUAUGUGAAUAACAAGUUCUUGUCAAAAGUGUAGUCCCACGUGCACAUUCCUCUCUCAUGGGAGAGCGCAUCGUAAUUGAAUUGAAUAUGGAGGUGCUAAGAAAAGACUUGGUGGCCUAUGAUUUAACUGAGGAUAUAGUCCUUGAUAGUGGAAUGGCUUAGAUGAUGUCGAUGGAUAAAUAUAGAGAGAGAAGGAUCUCCACAAGGUCUUUAUUAACUUAGAGAAAGCAUACAAUAGGGUCCCUAGAGAGUUAAUUUGGUGAGUGUUGGGAAAGAAAACAGUUUCAAUAGGAUAUAUUUGCAUGAUUAAGGAUAUGUAUGAGGGAGUGAUAACAAAUGUGGGGACUACUAGUGAAGAGACAAGUGAGUUCCAAUUACCGUAGGCUGGCACUAGUGGUCUGAAUUGAGCCCAUACAUUUUCCCAUUGGUUAUGGAUGAGUUAAUGAGGCAUUUGCAGGAAGAGAUCCCACGGAGUAUGUUGUCUACAAAUGACAUUGUUUUAUUGAAAGAUUCUUCCUUGAAUAAGGCAUCACACUUGUGGAAAGGAAUUGCUUUGGUUAAAGGGAGUUUUGGUAAUGGAGUGUGUUUUGUGCUUGGGGAUGGUGAAAAUAUUCGUUUUUGGAAAGACUUGCGGAUUGGAAAGGAAACCUUGGAGUUGCAUUUCCCACAGAUUGCAAGCUUAUCUACGGAUCGCAAUGUGCUUGUGGGACGUCGCUUCUCUCGAAGCAGAAACAUUACAGUUUGAACCCCUCCUUGCAGACUCUUUGUGUCUGAAGAAAAGGUGGGGGAAUUGAGCUCCCUGUUGGAUCAUAUCAAAUUUUACUAUCCAUCUAUUGGUGAGAAGGAUAAGAUGUGUUGGCAGUUGGACAAGUCAUGAUGUUUCACAGUCCGGUCCUUCUAUAAGAUGAUUCAAGCCCGAGGUAUUGGGGAAAGCUCUAGUGUCGUGUCUGCUACCAAGUUUAUUUGGUCCUACGGAGCUCCGCCGAAAGUUAAGGCGUUUGCAUGGUUAGUAGGCCAGGGGCAAAGUUUUGACAGUGGAUAACAUCUGGAAACAGGGAAUGGUUCUCCCAAAUGUUUGCCUGAUGUAUAUGGCUGAUUCAGAAUCUAUUAGCCAUCUCUUUAUGCAUUGCCUGACUGCCUCCUCUUUGUGGAACGACAUCCUAUCCACGUUCCAAGUUGCAUAGGUCUGCUCAAACUCCAUUGAUUUAUUCUUUUUGUCUUGGCACGGGGUGCAACUCAAAGAGGAUUUGAAAGUCCUUUGGCAUCUGUGUCUCUUGGAGGAGCUUUGGGCCAUUUGGGAAGAAAGGAACGGGAGAUGCUUUCAGAACUUGAGCCACUCUAUGGGGGAGUCAUCCUGAAAGCAAGGGGCCAAGUAAUGGAAUGGGCCUCAUGCUAAGGUGGGGAAAUUGAUUAUUCUUUUAUCAUGUAAUUAGUUCAAGUGGUUGCUCGCCCUUCCUAUGUACAGUUUUUUGCCUUUUUGGUGCUUGUGUAUGCUAUACUUUUGUUACCUUUCAAA